GGAAUAUUGGACAAUGGGCGCAAGCCUGAUCCAGCCAUGCCGCGUGAGUGAUGAAGGCCUUAGGGUUGUAAAGCUCUUUCAGUAGGGAAGAUAAUGACGGUACCUACAUAAGACGCCCCGGCUAAAUUCGUGCCAGCAGCCGCGGUAAUACGAAGGGGGCUAGCGUUGUUCGGAUUUACUGGGCGUAAAGCGCACGUAGGCGGAUUGGUCAGUUAGGGGUGAAAUCCUGGAGCUCAACUCCAGAACUGCCUUUAAUACUGCCAGUCUCGAGUCCGGAAGAGGUAAGUGGAACUCCUAGUGUAGAGGUGGAAUUCGUAGAUAUUAGGAAGAACACCAGUGGCGAAGGCGGCUUACUGGUCCGGUACUGACGCUGAGGUGCGAAAGCGUGGGGAGCAAAC
rnacentral:rRNA from 1 species